CUCAGGACGAACGCUGGCGGCGUGCCUAAUACAUGCAAGUCGAGCGGACCUCUUCGGAGGUUAGCGGCGGACGGGUGAGUAACACGUGGGCAACCUGCCUGUAAGACUGGGAUAACUCCGGGAAACCGGAGCUAAUACCGGAUAGUAUCUUGAACCGCAUGGUUCAAGCUGGAAAGACGGUUUCGGCUGUCACUUACAGAUGGGCCCGCGGCGCAUUAGCUAGUUGGUGAGGUAAUGGCUCACCAAGGCAACGAUGCGUAGCCGACCUGAGAGGGUGAUCGGCCACACUGGGACUGAGACACGGCCCAGACUCCUACGGGAGGCAGCAGUAGGGAAUCUUCCGCAAUGGACGAAAGUCUGACGGAGCAACGCCGCGUGAGUGAUGAAGGUUUUCGGAUCGUAAAACUCUGUUGUUAGGGAAGAACAAGUGCGAGAGUAACUGCUCGCACCUUGACGGUACCUAACCAGAAAGCCACGGCUAACUACGUGCCAGCAGCCGCGGUAAUACGUAGGUGGCAAGCGUUGUCCGGAAUUAUUGGGCGUAAAGCGCGCGCAGGCGGUUUCUUAAGUCUGAUGUGAAAGCCCCCGGCUCAACCGGGGAGGGUCAUUGGAAACUGGGAAACUUGAGUGCAGAAGAGGAGAGUGGAAUUCCACGUGUAGCGGUGAAAUGCGUAGAGAUGUGGAGGAACACCAGUGGCGAAGGCGACUCUC
rnacentral:rRNA from 2 species